rnacentral:rRNA from 1 species
GAUGAACGCUGGCGGCGUGCCUAAUACAUGCAAGUCGAGCGAACAGAUGAGGAGCUUGCUCCUCUGACGUUAGCGGCGGACGGGUGAGUAACACGUGGAUAACCUACCUAUAAGACUGGGAUAACUUCGGGAAACCGGAGCUAAUACCGGAUAAUAUAUUGAACCGCAUGGUUCAAUAGUGAAAGACGGUUUUGCUGUCACUUAUAGAUGGAUCCGCGCCGCAUUAGCUAGUUGGUAAGGUAACGGCUUACCAAGGCAACGAUGCGUAGCCGACCUGAGAGGCUGAUCGGCCACACUGGAACUUAGACGCGGUCCAGACUCCUACGGGAGGCAGCAGUAGGGAAUCUUCCGCAAAGGGCGAAAGCCUGACGGAGCGACGCCGCGUGAGUGAUGAAGGUCUUCGGAUCGUAAAACUCUGUUAUUAGGGAAGAACAAAUGUGUAAGUAACUAUGCACGUCUUGACGGUACCUAAUCAGAAAGCCACGGCUAACUACGUG